UACGAAGGGGGCUAGCGUUGUUCGGAAUCACUGGGCGUAAAGCGCACGUAGGCGGAUCUUUAAGUCAGGGUGAAAUCCCGAGGCUCAACCUCGGAACUGCCUUUGAUACUGGGGAUCUCGAGUCCGGGAGAGGUGAGUGGAAUGCGAGUGAGAGGUGAAAUUCGUAGAUAUUCGCAAGAACACCAGUGGCGAAGGCGGACUCACUGGCCCGGAACUGACGCUGAGGUGCGAAAGCGUGGGAGC
rnacentral:rRNA from 1 species